rnacentral:rRNA from 1 species
GAUGAACGCUGGCGGCGUGCCUAAUACAUGCAAGUCGAGCGAACAGACGAGGAGCUUGCUCCUCUGACGUUAGCGGCGGACGGGUGAGUAACACGUGGAUAACCUACCUAUAAGACUGGGAUAACUUCGGGAAACCGGAGCUAAUACCGGAUAAUAUAUUGAACCGCAUGGUUCAAUAGUGAAAGACGGUUUUGCUGUCACUUAUAGAUGGAUCCGCGCCGCAUUAGCUAGUUGGUAAUGUAACGGCUUACCAAGGCGACGAUGCGUAGCCGACCUGAGAGGGUGAUCGGCCACACUGGAACUGAGACACGGUCCAGACUCCUACGGGAGGCAGCAGUAGGGAAUCUUCCGCAAGGGGCGAAAGCCUGACGGAGCAACGCCGCGUGAGUGAUGAAGGUCUUCGGAUCGUAAAACUCUGUUAUUAGGGAAGAACAAAUGUGUAAGUAACUAUGCACGUCUUGACGGUACCUAAUCAGAAAGCCACGGCUAACUACGUG